ACCUUUUUUUCCAUUUUUUCCCUUCCUUGUCGGGUCUUUUCGUGUCCUCUUAUUCUGGGGAAUUAUAAGAAAGAAGG
rnacentral:ribozyme from 14 species